GUGCCAGCAGCCGCGGUAAUACGUAGGUGGCGAGCGUUGUCCGGAUUUACUGGGCGUAAAGGGCGUGCAGGCGGUCUGCUAAGUCUAGGGUGAAAGCUCCCGGCUCAACUGGGAGAGGUCCUUGGAUACUGACAGACUUGAGGGAGGCAGAGGAGAAUGGAAUUCCCGGUGUAGUGGUGAUAUGCGUAGAUAUCGGGAGGAACACCAGUGGCGAAGGCGGUUCUCUGGGCCUUACCUGACGCUGAGACGCGAAAGCGUGGGGAGCGAACCGGAUUAGAAACCCGAGUAGUCC
rnacentral:rRNA from 1 species